rfam:TPA: Bos taurus chromosome 25, whole genome shotgun sequence.
UCCCUGGCAGUCCAGUGGUUAGGAUUCUGUACUCUCACUGCAGAGGGUCCAGGUUCAAUACCUGGUCAGGGAA